rnacentral:lncRNA from 1 species
AUGGCAACAAAACCUUUUACUGGUUCCUCUAGAAAACUUAAUGAAACUCAAACAGAGCUCCCACGAAAAGAAACUGAAACAGAGCUCCCACAAAAAGAAACUGAAUCGCAGCUCCCGCAAGACAGAACUAGUGAGGCAGAAAAUAGCAACCAGACUUGGAACAUUCGUGAGAAUGUAAUUACGGCAACAGAAAGCAGAAACGUUGGGAUUUUCAACUUCAACAACGAAUAUCAUGAAGGUGGUGCCGUUGAUCAUCAUCAAGGAAUGAAGGGUCAAAACAAAACUGACUACAACAUUGAUGGCAACAAGAUUGAUUCAAAAGAUGGGGAGUUUGUUGGGAUUGGCAAAUUUGGCAACAAGUACUACAACUCGAGGAAAGACGAAGCAAGAAGCUCGAGCGAAGAAGAAGGAACGAGCAAGCCAUGA